GUACCCUUUUGCGAUGGUAGGAAAAGGCUCAGAGUAGGUUACGGUCCAAGUGAGCUCCUUUAUUUUGAAUUUGUUAAUUCAGAUUGAAUCAAAUUUCUUGAAGUAGGAUUAGGACUUACGGUCUAUUGGUUAACAGCCAACCUCUACCAUUGUGGAAGUUACACGUCUCCUCACCUCUUUGAGGAAAAUAGUUUGGUAUGAAUAUGUUAGAUACUCGAUUGGGGGAGCCAAUAGUGAACCACACUCUCUAUUUGGCAAUAAUUAAAAUUCAGUAAGUUAAUGAUUAAUUUUGAGAGUUAUGCUACAAUGACAAAAGAAUUUGACAAAAUUGGAUGACAAAGUUGGAUCUACACCAAUCAUUUUAAAAAUAGAUUUUUAAAUCAUUUCAAAUCAGUGGUUUGCAUUCUGCCAACACACUUUGUAAAGCCACUUUUGUAAUCCAACUUUGUUGAAGUAUAAUUAUUGUAAUUUUGAUUAUGCAUUUUACAGAAGUCAGAAAUUUUUUAAUGGCAUAUUUUAUCAAUUUUUAUUGAAAUCUAUUAAAAUUUUGAUUUUGAAUCUCACAAAACAAGAGUUUGUCAACAUUGGCAUGUGGUGAGAAUUUCCAAGUACCUCUCAUUCUUUGCUAUAUUUUUUUUAAUUUACAAAUAAAAUUGUUUAUAAAUACUAUUUCAAUGGUGUUUUUAAAAGUUUAUUAAUUUGUUUUCAAGUUUAAGGAGAUUGCAGUACGAGUAUUUAUUUCACUGCCUGCAAGUAGCAUUUGUUAGCUCUCUGGUCGUCGUAUUGUGUUUAACUCCAUAUCCGAUGCCCUUGCCUUAUCUUUCGAUUGUCAUCAAGUGAGAGGAAAUAUCACAAUAACUUGUUUCUGUACUUUUGGGAUUACGAAGAAUUGUUGACGUAAAUACAUCAUUUGAGGGUAUAUUGUGAUGGAUCCAUAAGCUCUAAGUGGAAGAGCGCUCAUUGGCUUCGGGGGCUUAUGAGAGGUUGGUGGUUCAAAUCCGCCUGGAUCCGAUUAAUUUCGCAGUUUUGAACGAUUUUAUUUUGCCUUACUAGAGAUUUUUGAUGUUUUGGCUUGUUCUUAAUUUUUUUAUAUCUUAAUUUGUUUCAUUUUUUAAAUUAUAAAUCAAAUGAAAAAAAAAAAAUCUUAAAUUUUUUAAUAUAGAUAUCAAUAAAUUUUGAAAUUUUGGAGUUAAGAUGCCAACACUCUGUUCCUUUGCCUUUGCUACCGUUGUUCUUACUCUUAACAAAUAGAUUCGGGGACGGCCCAGAAUUAACAAUUAAGCUGGUUUUACAGUAGAGUUUGACAACGUGUUUGAUAGCAUUUUUAAUUUGGGUGAUCUGGUAAGGAAAAAAAAUUUUAAAAAAAUGCGGGACACGAAAGGAAUAAAGAAGUGAGGGCCCACGUGAAUAAAUUGCCCCAAAAUUCAUAACAUAUUCUUCCCCCAAAUGGUGGAACCCUCAACUUCGAGUCCAGCGAAGUUGUAAUCUGGGAAAACCAGGGAGAUAUUGUCAACGGUGGCCAUAAUCUUCUUGCCAUCAUCUUCAUCUUCUUCAAUUGUAGCUUCGUCUUAUCGGUUCAGCGGCUCCAACUUGUAACAGGCUAUAAGUCGUCAUCCAAAUCCAAACACCUCGUGAAGGUCCAUCUUCUUCAGUCCGACUUCCAGCUUCUUUCAGUGGAGCUCCGAGCUUUGUUUCCAUUUUUCAGUUAUACUCCAUCGAAAUGUGAAGCUGGUUGUCUUCCUUUAGUCUAGCUCACUCAAGCUUCUGAACGCGAGGAUCCAGCUUCUUUGGGUGUAGCUUCGAGCUUCGUCCAACCAACCUAACUUCUUGCUCCAGCUGCGUGUAAACCAAUCACCUGACCCAUUACAAGGUAUUAACACUUUGGUUUACUUACUGCAUUCUUCAAAUUUUUGGAAUUUGUAUGAUAUUGGUAAUGCAUUAUCCAAAAUGUCAAUGCAUCCAUAUAUGAAACCAUACAUUUCUCUGUUUUUUUCGUCAAAUUGGGGGUAGUGAUUUGUAUCGGUGUGUAUUGUACGGUGUUCAUGUUUUGCUGAACUUGAAUGAUUACAUUUUUAACAGCUGAAGAAAUCAUGGAUGAUGUGGAUAAGUAUAUUUUGGUGGAAUCAGACAACGAGAACGUGGAAGACAAUAUGAACCAAUUGGAAGAUGAAAUCGCAAAAGGAGAUGGUAAUAUUGUGCCCAAGGUCAGAAUGACGUUCAAGAAUGAAAAUGAAAUGUUUGAUUUCUACAAGGCAUAUGCCUAUGUCUUUGAUUUUCCAAUUAGGAAAUGGACAUCUAAAAAGGAUAACAAUGGAAUGUUGAAAUAUCCGACUUUGACAUGUAGUCGGGAAGGCAAAAGAAGUGGUACUACAAGUGGCUCUUUCAAGCCGCAACUGACAAUUCAGACGGAUUGUAAAACUAGAAUAUCUACAUAUUCAGAUAUUCAUGGCUCUUGGAGAAUUAACAUAGUUUGUCUAGAGCACAAUCAUAGAACAAGUCCGAUAAUGUCUAUGUUAUAUCAUUGUAAUCGAAAAAUGAGUACACAUGUCAAAAGGAAGCUUCAAGUGAAUGAUCUAGCAGGCAUUCCAUUACACCAAUCCUACGACUCAACAGUGGUAGAGGCAUGUGGCUGUGAGAACAUGACUUGCAUAGAAAAAAAAUCUCGUAAUUAUAUUGAGCAAGUUAGGCGACUACAACUUGGAGUAGGUGAUGCCACAACAAUACAAAACUACUUUUCGACAAUGCAGUCAAGGUGCUCGGAAGGUGCUCGGGUUUUUACUUUAGCAUGGAUUUAGAUGACGACUCACAUCUCAGGAAUGUAUUUUGGACAGAAAAUUGGCCUAUGCAGGCAUUUAAGGAGUUUGGGGAUGUUACAUUUGAUACUACCUAUCUGACCAAUAAGUAUGACAUACCAUUUGCCUCCUUUUGUGGGCGUAAAUCAUCACAGACAAUCGACACACUUGGUUGUGGUUUGGUGUCAAACAAGGACACAGACACUUUUGUGUGGCUUUUAAUAAAAUGGCUUAAGUGCAUGCACGAUCAAGUUCCAAAUAGAAUACUUACUGAUCAAGAGAGGAUGAUGCAAAAUGCAAUUCAGAUCGUAUUUUCAAAUACUAGGCACAGAUAGUGCUUAUGGCAUAUAUUGAAAAAGUUGUCUGAGAAGCUCGGCUACCACAUGGGUAAGGGUUCAAUACUUUCGACUAUUCGUGCAUUGGUUUUAUGAUUCCCAAACUAUCGAUGAAUUUGAAGGAGGUUGGAUAAUGAUGAUCAAGUCAUAUGGGUUGCAUGAUAAUACUUGGUUGUUAGGCCUUUACGAUAAUAGAGGUCGUUGGAUCCCUUGCUUUUUGAAAACUACUUUCUGGGCAAGGAUGUCGACGAUGCAAAGAAGUGAGAGCAUGAAUGCAUUUUUUUUGAUAGAUACUUUCAUUCAAAGACUUCUUUGGUAUAGUUUGUUGAACAGUAUGAACGGGUAUAACGGAAUAAGAUUGAGAAAGAGUUCCGAUUGAUUUUAAAUUAUUUUCACAAAUGGUACCGUAUGCGACAACUUAUUAUAUGGAGAAGCAGUUUCAGUCAGUAUACACCAUUUCAAAAUUUUCAGAAGUUCAAGCUGAGUUCAGAAGGAAAGUUUACUGCGACAUCGUAUCUUCCUCAAAAGGACUUCUUGGGAUGACAUACAAUAUAUGGGAAGAUGUCGUACAUGAACAACGUCGAAAGAAGAAAUCGUUCGAAGUUACGUUUCAACCCGAGGACUGUGAAAUUAGUUCCAACUGCCACUUGUUCGAGUUUAGAGGAAUAAUAUGCAGGCAUGCCCUCACCGUGUUGAUUCAUAAUGACAUAACAUCACUUCACGAGCAGUGCAUUUUGCGACGAUGGAGAAGAGAUGUUAGUAGAGCAUAUUUAAGGGUCACGGUCAAUUAUGACGGGUUGGUUAGUUCUCCUAGAUAAUUGAGAUUUGACAGUACGUGCCAAGCUUUUGCUACGCUGGCAAAUCUUGCUGCAGAUGACAAAGUUUAGACUUGUGUCAUAAUAGAAUGGAUUGGACUGCAAUCCAAGGAGCUAGUGAUGACGAAGUCAAUUUGUGGAAAUAAUACUAUUUCGCAUUGAAACAAUGAGUUAGCCGCUAUACAUACUAAUUCCCAAAAUAAUACGAACUAGAACAUAUUGGAUCCGACACUGUGCCGAAGAAAAGAAGCACAAAAAAACUUCGACGAAAAGGACCUUUAGACUCUUCUUCAAAGAAGGUACAGGUUUAUUAAAAGUUUCGUCGAGAUUUGAAAAUUAUUUGUAUACACAAAGUCUCAUUUAUUAUGAAGUACAUAUAGUUAAAUUUGACUUCAAUCAAGUGAAAGAGGCUGACAUGAAAGCAUAGUAGUACAUGUGUGGGUGUACUUGAAGGGCAGCCAAUUUUUGUAGAAAACCAAUAUUCCCCUUCUCUACAAGUCACAUUAUCACAAUUUCCAGUUUCGACGCCCUUUCCAUUACCAGAACGUGGCAUGCUGACGUCAUUGUCAUAUAUGCAAUGCUUACAAUCUUGCAAUAUGAUGAAUUUGUCGUCAACAAAUGACUUGUACAAGUCACAAGGUAAGUUAACAUUGAUCGUGUAUUUAUAAUUCAUUUCGAUUUUUUAUUCAUGCACUUACGGAAGUUAAAUUUGUAUUAUAGGCCAUGCAUUUGCGUACUACUAUCCACAUUUGUCGGAUCAAGGUAAAACUGGUUUUUUGAUGCUUUUCGGAUAGCCCAUGCAGUUGAUGGAAUAAGUUACUUUUGUUUAUUUCGAACUUGAACACCCUGCCCCUGUAUUGGAUGGGAACAAGGAUUACAAAGUUGGUUGCUUAUGUAUGUAUUUUACUCAUUUGUAGCUUGGCAGCAGAGUCCACUUUGCCCAUUCGAAUGUUAUGUUUUUGUAUACACCACCCAUUUCGAAUCGAGAUCUUGUAUUUGGAGAAUGAUCACUAAGAUAUUUAAGCACCUAGCAAGUUGCAGC
rnacentral:lncRNA from 1 species